GUCGAUCUGGCUCAGGAGACGCGUCGGCGGCUAACACAAGCAAUCAACGGAUCCCGGGGUUCGCUUCCGGUGAGAGCGCGAACGGGUGAGUAAUGCGGGCCGACUUGCCCCAUACACCGGAAUAGCUCCAGGAAACGGGUGGUAAUGCCGGAUGCUCCGGUUGGAUGCAAGUCCUCCGGGGAAAGAUUCUAUCGGUAUGGGAUGGGGUCGCGUCCUAUCAGCUUGAUGGCGGGGAACGGCCCACCAUGGCUUCGACGGGUAGCCGGCCUGAGAGGGCGACCGGCCACAUUGGGACUGAGAUACGGCCCAGACUCCUACGGGAGGCAGCAGUGGGGAAUAUUGCACAAUGGGCGCAAGCCUGAUGCAGCGACGCCGCGUGCGGGAUGGAGGCCUUCGGGUUGUAAACCGCUUUUGAUCGGGAGCAAGCCCUUCGGGGUGAGUGUACCUUUCGAAUAAGCACCGGCUAACUACGUGCCAGCAGCCGCGGUAAUACGUAGGGUGCAAGCGUUAUCCGGAAUUAUUGGGCGUAAAGGGCUCGUAGGCGGUUCGUCGCGUCCGGUGUGAAAGCCCAUCGCUUAACGGUGGGUCUGCGCCGGGUACGGGCGGGCUGGAGUGCGGUAGGGGAGACUGGAAUUCCCGGUGUAACGGUGGAAUGUGUAGAUAUCGGGAAGAACACCAAUGGCGAAGGCAGGUCUCUGGGCCGUCACUGACGCUGAGGAGCGAAAGCGUGGGGAGCGAACAGGAUUAGAUACCCUGGUAGUCCACGCCGUAAACGGUGGAUGCUGGAUGUGGGGCCCGUUCCACGGGUUCCGUGUCGGAGCUAACGCGUUAAGCAUCCCGCCUGGGGAGUACGGCCGCAAGGCUAAAACUCAAAGAAAUUGACGGGGGCCCGCACAAGCGGCGGAGCAUGCGGAUUAAUUCGAUGCAACGCGAAGAACCUUACCUGGGCUUGACAUGUUCCCGACAGCCGUAGAGAUAUGGCCUCCCUUCGGGGCGGGUUCACAGGUGGUGCAUGGUCGUCGUCAGCUCGUGUCGUGAGAUGUU
rnacentral:rRNA from 1 species